AUUGCCUCAGUAGCGGCGAGCGAAGCGGCAAGAGCUCAAAUUUGAAAUCUGGCCCCCGGGCCCGAGUUGUAAUUUGCAGAGGAUGCUCCCGGCGACGCGCCUGCCGAAGUCCCCUGGAACGGGGCGCCGCAGAGGGUGAGAGCCCCGUGCGGCGGGACGCCGAGCCGUAGCGGAGCUCCCUCGAAGAGUCGAGCAGUUUGGGAAUGCUGCUCUAAGCGGGAGGUACAUUCCUUCUAAAGCUAAAUACCGGCCAGAGACCGAUAGCGCACAAGUAGAGUGAUCGAAAGAUGAAAAGUACCUUGGAAAGAGGGUCAAACAGUACGUGAAAUUGCUGAAGGGGAAGCGUCUGCGGCCAGACGCGGGCUCGGUGGAUCAUCCGGUUCUCGCGGACCGGUGCACUCCGCCGCUGCCCGGGCCAGCGUCGGCUCGCCGCCGGGCCAGAAGGACGGGGGAAACGUGGCUCCCCCCGGGGAGACCUUAUAGACCCCCGUUUGAUAGCCCGGCGCGGGCCGAGGAACGCGCUACGUGCAAGGAUGCUGGCGUAAUGGCCGCCGGCGACCCGUCUUGAAACACGGACCAAGGAGUCGAACACCCACGCGAGUGCUCGGGCGCAAAACCCGAGCGCGCAAUGAAAGUGAACGGAGGCGGGAGCCCUCGGGCGCACCGUCGACCGAUCCAGAGGUUUAACCGAAGGAUUUGAGUAGGAGCGUGGCUGGUCGGACCCGAAAGAUGGUGAACUAUGCCUGCGUAGGGCGAAGCCAGAGGAAACUCUGGUGGAGGCUCGCAGCGGUUCUGACGUGCAAAUCGAUCGUCGAACGUGGGCAUGGGGGCGAAAGACUAAUCGANCNAUCNANCANAAGUUCCG
rnacentral:rRNA from 1 species